GGGUUGUGAGGUUAAGCGACUAAGCGUACACGGUGGAUGCCCUGGCAGUCAGAGGCGAUGAAGGACGUGCUAAUCUGCGAUAAGCGUCGGUGAGGUGAUAUGAACCGUUAUAACCGGCGAUUUCCGAAUGGGGAAACCCAGUGUGUUUCGACACACUAUCAUUAACUGAAUCCAUAGGUUAAUGAGGCGAACCGGGGGAACUGAAACAUCUAAGUACCCCGAGGAAAAGAAAUCAACCGAGAUUCCCCCAGUAGCGGCGAGCGAACGGGGAGGAGCCCAGAGCCUGAAUCAGUGUGUGUGUUAGUGGAAGCGUCUGGAAAGGCGCGCGAUACAGGGUGACAGCCCCGUACACAAAAAUGCACACAUUGUGAGCUCGAUGAGUAGGGCGGGACACGUGGUAUCCUGUCUGAAUAUGGGGGGACCAUCCUCCAAGGCUAAAUACUCCUGACUGACCGAUAGUGAACCAGUACCGUGAGGGAAAGGCGAAAAGAACCCCGGCGAGGGGAGUGAAAAAGAACCUGAAACCGUGUACGUACAAGCAGUGGGAGCCUCUUAAUGGGGUGACUGCGUACCUUUUGUAUAAUGGGUCAGCGACUUAUAUUCUGUAGCAAGGUUAACCGAAUAGGGGAGCCGAAGGGAAACCGAGUCUUAACUGGGCGUUAAGUUGCAGGGUAUAGACCCGAAACCCGGUGAUCUAGCCAUGGGCAGGUUGAAGGUUGGGUAACACUAACUGGAGGACCGAACCGACUAAUGUUGAAAAAUUAGCGGAUGACUUGUGGCUGGGGGUGAAAGGCCAAUCAAACCGGGAGAUAGCUGGUUCUCCCCGAAAGCUAUUUAGGUAGCGCCUCGUGAAUUCAUCUCCGGGGGUAGAGCACUGUUUCGGCAAGGGGGUCAUCCCGACUUACCAACCCGAUGCAAACUGCGAAUACCGGAGAAUGUUAUCACGGGAGACACACGGCGGGUGCUAACGUCCGUCGUGAAGAGGGAAACAACCCAGACCGCCAGCUAAGGUCCCAAAGUCAUGGUUAAGUGGGAAACGAUGUGGGAAGGCCCAGACAGCCAGGAUGUUGGCUUAGAAGCAGCCAUCAUUUAAAGAAAGCGUAAUAGCUCACUGGUCGAGUCGGCCUGCGCGGAAGAUGUAACGGGGCUAAACCAUGCACCGAAGCUGCGGCAGCGACACUAUGUGUUGUUGGGUAGGGGAGCGUUCUGUAAGCCUGUGAAGGUGGCCUGUGAGGGUUGCUGGAGGUAUCAGAAGUGCGAAUGCUGACAUAAGUAACGAUAAAGCGGGUGAAAAGCCCGCUCGCCGGAAGACCAAGGGUUCCUGUCCAACGUUAAUCGGGGCAGGGUGAGUCGACCCCUAAGGCGAGGCCGAAAGGCGUAGUCGAUGGGAAACAGGUUAAUAUUCCUGUACUUGGUGUUACUGCGAAGGGGGGACGGAGAAGGCUAUGUUGGCCGGGCGACGGUUGUCCCGGUUUAAGCGUGUAGGCUGGUUUUCCAGGCAAAUCCGGAAAACCAAGGCUGAGGCGUGAUGACGAGGCACUACGGUGCUGAAGCGACAAAUGCCCUGCUUCCAGGAAAAGCCUCUAAGCAUCAGGUAACAUCAAAUCGUACCCCAAACCGACACAGGUGGUCAGGUAGAGAAUACCAAGGCGCUUGAGAGAACUCGGGUGAAGGAACUAGGCAAAAUGGUGCCGUAACUUCGGGAGAAGGCACGCUGAUAUGUAGGUGAAGCGACUUGCUCGUGGAGCUGAAAUCAGUCGAAGAUACCAGCUGGCUGCAACUGUUUAUUAAAAACACAGCACUGUGCAAACACGAAAGUGGACGUAUACGGUGUGACGCCUGCCCGGUGCCGGAAGGUUAAUUGAUGGGGUUAGCGGUAACGCGAAGCUCUUGAUCGAAGCCCCGGUAAACGGCGGCCGUAACUAUAACGGUCCUAAGGUAGCGAAAUUCCUUGUCGGGUAAGUUCCGACCUGCACGAAUGGCGUAAUGAUGGCCAGGCUGUCUCCACCCGAGACUCAGUGAAAUUGAACUCGCUGUGAAGAUGCAGUGUACCCGCGGCAAGACGGAAAGACCCCGUGAACCUUUACUAUAGCUUGACACUGAACAUUGAGCCUUGAUGUGUAGGAUAGGUGGGAGGCUUUGAAGUGUGGACGCCAGUCUGCAUGGAGCCGACCUUGAAAUACCACCCUUUAAUGU
rnacentral:rRNA from 1 species